rnacentral:rRNA from 1 species
GUGACCGCUCCGGGCAUCUGGUGGUGGUGGAAAGUUUUUCGGUUGGGGAGGGGCUCGCGGCCUAUCAGCUUGUUGGUGGGGUGAUGGCCUACCAAGGCGACGACGGGUAGCCGGCCUGAGAGGGCGACCGGCCACACUGGGACUGAGACACGGCCCAGACUCCUACGGGAGGCAGCAGUGGGGAAUAUUGCGCAAUGGGCGGAAGCCUGACGCAGCGACGCCGCGUGGGGGAUGACGGCCUUCGGGUUGUAAACCUCUUUCACCAUUGGCGAAGGCUCGUCUUUUGGGCGGGUUGACGGUAGGUGGGGAAGAAGCGCCGGCUAACUACGUGCCAGCAGCCGCGGUAAUACGUAGGGCGCAAGCGUUGUCCGGAUUUAUUGGGCGUAAAGAGCUCGUAGGUGGUUUGUCGCGUCUGUCGUGAAAGCCCGUGGCUUAACUGUGGGUUUGCGGUGGAUACGGGCAGACUAGAGGCAGGUAGGGGAGAGUGGAAUUCCCGGUGUAGCGGUGAAAUGCGCAGAUAUCGGGAGGAACACCGGUGGCGAAGGCGGCUCUCUGGGCCUGUCCUGACGCUGAGGAGCGAAAGCGUGGGUAGCGAACAGGAUUAGAUACCCUGGUAGUCCACGCCGUAAACGUUGGGCGCUAGGUGUGGGGGCUUUCCAAGGUUUCCGUGCCGCAGCUAACGCAUUAAGCGCCCCGCCUGGGGAGUACGGCCGCAAGGCUAAAACUCAAAAGGAAUUGACGGGGGCCCGCACAAGCGGCGGAGCAUGUUGCUUAAUUCGACGCAACGCGAAAAACCUUACCAGGGUUUGACAUGCACGAUUUACCCCUAGAGAUAGGGGGUCCUUUUGGGUCGUGUGCAGUGGUGCAUGGCUGUC